rnacentral:rRNA from 1 species
UGAACGCUGGCGGCAUGCCUAAUACAUGCAAGUCGAACGGACAGAAGUAAAAGCUUGCUUUUAUGGAAGUUAGUGGCGAACGGGUGAGUAACACGUAGGUAACCUGCCCAUGUGCCCGGGACAACAGGAGGAAACUCCUGCUAAAACCGGAUAGGUAAUAUCGAGGCAUCUUGAUAUUAUUAAAGGGGCUACGGCCUUGAACAUGGAUGGACCUGCGGUGCAUUAGUUAGUUGGUGAGGUAACGGCUCACCAAGACGAUGAUGCAUAGCCGACCUGAGAGGGUGAACGGCCACAUUGGGACUGAGACACGGCCCAAACUCCUACGGGAGGCAGCAGUAGGGAAUUUUCGUCAAUGGAGGGAACUCUGAACGAGCAAUGCCGCGUGUGUGAAGAAGGUCUUCGGAUCGUAAAGCACUGUUGUAAGAGAGGAAAACCGCUCAUAGGGAAUGAUGAGCGGCUGACAGUAUCUUACCAGAAAGCCACGGCUAACUACGUGCCAGCAGCCGCGGUAAUACGUAGGUGGCGAGCGUUAUCCGGAAUCAUUGGGCGUAAAGGGUGCGUAGGCGGCACAUUAAGUCUGAGGUAAAAGACUGCAGCUCAACUGCAGCGAGCCUUGGAAACUGAUGAGCUAGAGUGCAGGGGAGGGCAGUGGAAUUCCAUGUGUAGCGGUAAAAUGCGUAGAUAUAUGGAGGAACACCAGUGGCGAAGGCGGCUGCCUGGCCUGUAACUGACGCUGAGGCACGAAAGCGUGGGGAGCAAACAGGAUUAGAUACCCUGGUAGUCCACGCCGUAAACGAUGAGUAAUA